rnacentral:misc_RNA from 1 species
AAGUCGUAACAAGGUCUCCGUAGGUGAACCUGCGGAGGGAUCAUUCACAUGAUAUACUUGAAACAAACUGUGAACUUUAUAAAUACUAUUCGUGUUUUUUAUCAGUUUUACUGUAUAAUAAACAUCGUCAUUCGAUUGAACAUAAGAUAGUUGGCUUGAAAUGUAACAAUUUCUUUCUCAGCUUUGAUUUGAUAGAAUUAAACAUUUUAUCACUUCAACCAUAAAACAUAGAAACAACUCUAUGCCCUGGAUAUCUUGGUUCUC